rnacentral:lncRNA from 1 species
AUGCAUCAAGAUUUCAGGUUAAAGUGCCUGAUGGCUGCCACUGGCAUUGCCACUUCUGAUCUUGUUCUCAUUUGCGAACUCCCAGCUUUUUGUCUGGCUUUGGGAGCCUGGUUGGGCCUCCAGCUCUGGCCUUCUAUGUCUGCUGCCAGCUCUGAAGUUCUGAUGGGAUCCGUGUCAGCUUUCCUAAGUGAGUUAAGGCAUUCUGAAUAUGCCACACCCUGGUUCCCUUAUUCUGUAAGAAGACCACAGAAGAGAGAAGGAGCCCAGAUGGCCCCAGGUGGGCCACUAAUCC